GACGAACGCUGGCGGCGUGCCUAAUACAUGCAAGUCGAACGAGAGCGACCGGUGCUUGCACUGGUCAAUCUAGUGGCGAACGGGUGAGUAACACGUGGGUAACCUGCCCAUCAGAGGGGGAUAACAUCCGGAAACGGAUGCUAAAACCGCAUAGGUCUUCGAGCCGCAUGGCUUGAAGAGGAAAAGAGGCGCAAGCUUCUGCUGAUGGAUGGACCCGCGGUGCAUUAGGUAGUUGGUGGGGUAACGGCUCACCAAGGCCGUGAUGCAUAGCCGACCUGAGAGGGUGAUCGGCCACAGUGGGACUGAGACACGGCCCAGACUCCUACGGGAGGCAGCAGUAGGGAAUCUUGCGCAAUGGGCGCAAGUCUGACCGAGCAAUGCCGCGUGGGUGAAGAAGGUUUUCGGGUCGUAAAACUCUGUUGUUGGAGAAGAACAAGUGCUAGAGUAACUGUUGGCGCUUUGACGGUAUCUAACCAGAAAGCACCGGCUAACUACGUG
rnacentral:rRNA from 1 species